UGGAAAGGAUGCGCUCGCACCCCGAAAAGUGCAACCCGAAUAAAUUCUGCCUCUAUCACCGUGACCAUGGCCACGACAUUGAAGAAUGUAUUCAGCUCCGAGACUAAAUCGAGGAGCUCAUCAGGCGAGGUCGGCUCGACAGAUUUAUUUAACGCCGACCUGAAGGUAGGGAAGACCGGCCUAGGGCCCUGCCACAGUCGGAGCCGCCAA
rnacentral:lncRNA from 1 species